AAUCUAGAAACCAAAUCUAUCUAGAUUUACAUGAUCACACAUCAAGUAAUAUUCAUAACAAAUUCAACAAAGUUGUGGACGGUUUUACGGGGUUAAAUAUUGUCCAACGAGUUAGACUCUGAGUGAUAAUUUUAUUUGUAAGAAAAUAGUUUGUGGGAAAUAAACCAAAAUUUAAAAAUUUAAGUUGCGAUUUGUGCAAUUUUCUCGAAAAAGAAAACAAUGAAAGAACUAUCCACACGGCCGCUUUUCCGAUUCGAAAGGCAGUGAUAGAUGGCAGUCAGAAGCCUGAGCUCACUACCAGCCGUCCGAUUCGAAGCCUCAAAAUCAAACGGUGCUCCUCCUCCGCCUCUUCCUCCGCCGCGGAAUCCAGAGCCGCGGCCCCGACUCUCCCUCUCCAAGCCCUCUUGGGUCGUCCGUGCAGAGUCAAAUGUUCACAGAGAAGUAAGGAAGAAACCGGAUCCUCCUUGUGAGGUCUGCACUGGGAGUGGAAGGGUCAAUUGCCAUGACUGUUGCGGAAGAGUUCUAAGGCAUACAACAAAUAUAGUUCAGUCUGCCAGAAAUAUUGAAGUUAUACCAGAAGUGCAGUCAAAAGCGACUAAAGAGAUGUUUCUAGAUUUAUCAUUUUCCCACAGAAAUCUGAUGGUUUUUGAGAGAAUGGUUGAGAUUCAAAAGUUUUACCAUCAGCAUAUGCCACUGAAGUUUUCAAUCCUGAAGUCAAGAAAUCGAUGAAGGACAAAUUUUAUUGACAUGAAAAUGCUCCCCAAAGGAGAAUGGCCAAAAUGGUGCAGGACUUGCGGUGGAAGUGGUCUCGGUUACUGCUCCCGCUGCCUUGGGACUGGUGAGUAUCGGUAUAUUAUGGGAUUUCAG